UACGGAGGAUGCGAGCGUUAUCCGGAUUUAUUGGGUUUAAAGGGAGCGUAGGCGGGAGGUCAAGUCAGCUGUGAAAUGUAUCUGCUUAACGGGUACACUGCAGUUGAAACUGGUUUUCUUGAGUGCGUAAGAGGCAGGCGGAAUUCGUUGUGUAGCGGUGAAAUGCUUAGAUAUGACGAGGAACUCCUAUUGCGAAGGCAGCUUGCUGGGUCGUUACUGACGCUGAUGCUCGAAGGUGCGGAGAUCAAACAGGAUUA
rnacentral:rRNA from 1 species